rnacentral:rRNA from 1 species
GACGAACGCUGGCGGCGUGCUUAACACAUGCAAGUCGAACGGAAAGGCCCUGCUUUUGUGGGGUGCUCGAGUGGCGAACGGGUGAGUAACACGUGAGUAACCUGUCCUUGACUUUGGGAUAACUUCAGGAAACUGGGGCUAAUACCGGAUAGGAGCUCCUGCUGCAUGGUGGGGGUUGGAAAGUUUCGGCGGUUGGGGAUGGACUCGCGGCUUAUCAGCUUGUUGGUGGGGUAGUGGCUUACCAAGGCUUUGACGGGUAGCCGGCCUGAGAGGGUGACCGGCCACAUUGGGCCUGAGAUACGGCCCAGACUCCAACGGGACGCAACAGUGGAGAGUAUUGCACAGUGGGCGGAAGCGUGAUGCGGCAACGCCGCGUGCGGGAUGACGGGCUUCGGGUUGUAAACCGAUUUCGCCUGUGACGAAGCGUGAGUGACGGUAAUGGGUAAAGAAGCACCGGCUAACUACGUG